rnacentral:rRNA from 1 species
UGGGGAAUAUUGCGCAAUGGGGGAAACCCUGACGCAGCCAUGCCGCGUGAGUGACGAAGGCCUUAGGGUUGUAAAGCUCUUUCGCUAGGGAAGAUAAUGACGGUACCUAGUAAAGAAGCCCCGGCUAACUCCGUGCCAGCAGCCGCGGUAAUACGGAGGGGGCUAGCGUUGUUCGGAAUCACUGGGCGUAAAGCGCGCGUAGGCGGACUGAUUAGUUGGGGGUGAAAGCCCGGAGCUCAACUCCGGAACUGCCUUCAAUACUGUCAGUCUUGAGGUCGAGAGAGGUAAGUGGAAUUCCGAGUGUAGAGGUGAAAUUCGUAGAUAUUCGGAAGAACACCAGUGGCGAAGGCGACUUACUGGCUCGAUUCUGACGCUGAGGUGCGAAAGCGUGGGGAGCAAACAGG